rnacentral:misc_RNA from 1 species
AAAAUACCCUCCACCUAAAGAAUUACAAAGUGGUCAUGAUACUUUUCCAGCGGUAAGGCAUGUGCUGGUAACUGUUAAAUUUUGGUGUUUUCAAACUUCUGCAGGUAAUGAAGAUGGCGCAUCCAUCCAGGAGGUACAAUGUCGGCAGUUUUCUAAUCAUGUUUGAAUUUUCUGAAGCAGUCUAUCCACCAUAAUUUUCUGCUGCAACCCACUUAACGUCUCUGAGUUCUUGAUUGCAUUUGCAACAAUAAUGACUGUUGAAGGGGAGGUGGCAUUCACCCAAACGCGGCCAUUUAAGCCAACUGCAAUCUCAAAGGAGAGCUUAUUGCCAAGAGCCUCAAGAACUGGGCAUGUUGGUGACCUCAACAACAUUCUUGAUAGACCAGUUGAGCAUUCAAACAUGUAGCCAUCUUUGAGGACACCAAAUUCUGCUGCUUUCCCACUGGCAUCAGUGCAAGACAAUUCCGGAUUCAUCCCAGGGUUUGCCUUCACAACCCGAACGUAAAGCAAAGUGCCUCCCUCAAAUUUUGGUAUAUUUCUCCUAGUGCCUCCUUCAAAUGCAAGCACAGGCAAAAAUGCCAGGGCAGGUCCUUUUAUGUCUACAAGAAAGUUUUCUGCUUUGGAGUCUACCACAAUUCCAAGAACGCUGUCUCCCACGCAAGGUACGUAUCUUUUCUGGGAGCUUUCCACCCAGUAUUUGUUUGGCUUUGAGAACCUCAAUUUCCCGGCUUUCAUGACAGAGAUAGCAUCAGAAUCCUGACGGAGGCCGCCACCAAGCUUGAUAGUCUGGUUAGUCAUGGUCGAGAGAUCUAGAACCACGUCUCCUGGGACCACUAUCUGGUCAAUAAAGCUCAUCGGCGAACUUGAGGGUUUAUCUUCCAUUCUUCGUAUUGGACGUAGACAGCUGCCAGAGCCCUCUGUGUGCGCGAUGAACGGUGCACGCCC